UAACACGUAGGGGGCGAGCGUUGUCCGGAUUUAUUGGGCGUAAAGAGCUCGUAGGCGGCUCAGUAAGUCGGGUGUGAAAACUCAGGGCUCAACCCUGAGACGCCACUCGAUACUGCUGUGGCUUGAGUCCGGUAGGGGAGCAGGGAAUUCCUGGUGUAGCGGUGAAAUGCGCAGAUAUCAGGAGGAACACCGGUGGCGAAGGCGCUGCUCUGGGCCGGUACUGACGCUGAGGAGCGAAAGCGUGGGUAGCAAACAGGAUUAGAUACCCUGGUAGUCCACGCCGUAAACGUUGGGCACUAGGUGUGGGGGAUCAUCAACGUCCUCCGUGCCGUAGCUAACGCAUUAAGUGCCCCGCCUGGGGAGUACGGCCGCAAGGCUA
rnacentral:rRNA from 1 species